CGACUGCUCCGGGUGCCGGGCGUGCGCCGGCACGCGGCGGGCGCCCUGCCGGAGCUGCGGCGGCUCCGGCACGGGCCGCCGCGCCCCCGUCCGCGUCUCCUCCUCCGCGCCGCCGUCACGGUGACCGGGAUCGGAAGGAGAAGCUGUGUCGCCUCUCGCCGCCGAUGGAUCGAUCAAACCCCCCAGGCUCGCCGUCGCCGGCGUCGAGCUAGGCAGAGCUUAUAGUUGGUUCUUGAUUUCUCCCGUUGCUGGGAAGGAGAUGAACCUGCAACAUCUGCAUGAACAGCUCAGAGCACUAGAUUAGCAGAAGAUUAAUUAGUUAGCUGAUCAGUAGUUGUAGCACUAGCUUAGCUAGUUCAAUCAAAAGGCUCUGUGCUUGUCUGAUCUGUCCAUUCCAGUCACUGAUGCUGCUGCUGUUCAAUCAAGGCUCGAUGUGUAAUUAGCAGCAGCAGAUAAGCAGAUUAGUUAGCUGAUUAAUUGUAGUGGCAGCAGCUAGUUCAAUCAAGGCUCGAUUUAUGUGAUUAUGUCUCUCUGACCUGUUCAUGCCAGCCACUGAUGCUGCUGCUGUUGAAUUGCUUGCCCAGCUUGAUCCAACCUCACUGUCAAAAGUGGAGAAAUGAAACAAACUGUGAACAUGUACUGUGUUCAUCUAUCAGCAACAUCUCUUAAUUUUGAGCAGCUCGCUCCGGUCCUUUCUACUUGGAGUAGAAUAUGAGCCGUUGAUCGUAUUUAAUCGUAAGGUUGAGAUCUAGUUCUACUCCCACCAAAUUUUAUGGGAGUAGAAAUGUGGAGGGGUAUAUUUGUCUAGAGAUAAUAAUUCGCGUGGAGGUAUUAUCAUAAUUUGCCAUUAUCUAACUGUUCACCCUCUCCCUAUCCUAUUCUAAUCAACGUCAUUCCCCUCCAUCCCUCUCCUUCAUCGCCCGUUCCUCUCCAUACCCGUCUUUGUCGCUGGUCCUUCUCCCUCGCUGCCUCCGUCCCCUCCAGCGCCGUCGCCUCCCCUGGCCUCGCCGCCUUCUCUGCAGCAGCGUUUUCUUAUAGGGUACAGCGGACUUAUAGCUACAAGCUGAUCAUAGAAGUGAAUUUUGCUGCUGAUGAUAUGGAUCAUGUUGUUAUAGCUUACGCCCACCACGGGUUGUCG
rnacentral:lncRNA from 1 species